ACGGCUCAGUAACACGUGGAUAACCUACCCUCAGAUCUGGGAUAACUCCGGGAAACUGGAGAUAAUACCGGAUAGUCCGUGAACGCUGGAAUGCCUCACGGUUGAAAGCUUUAGCGUCUGAGGAUGGGUCUGCGGCCGAUUAGGUAGUUGCUGGGGUAACGUCCCAACAAGCCGAUAAUCGGUACGGGUUGUGAGAGCAAGAGCCCGGAGAUGGAUUCUGAGACACGAAUCCAGGUCCUACGGGGCGCAGCAGGCGCGAAAACUUUACACUGCGCGAAAGCGCGAUAAGAGGACCUCGAGUGCGUGCGCAAUGCGUACGCUUUUCAGAUACCUAAAAAGCAUCUGGAAUAAGGGCCGGGCAAGACCGGUGCCAGCCGCCGCGGUAACACCGGCGGCUCAAGUGGUGGCCGCUAUUAUUGGGCUUAAAGGGUCCGUAGCCGGACCAGUUAGUCCCUUGGGAAAUCUUACGGCUUAACCGUAAGGCUGCCAAUGGAUACUGCUGGUCUUGGGACCGGGAGAGGCAAGAGGUACCUCAGGGGUAGGAGUGAAAUCCUGUAAUCCUUGAGGGACCGCCAGUGGCGAAGGCGUCUUGCUAGAACGGGUCCGACGGUGAGGGACGAAAGCUAGGGGCACGAACCGGAUUCGAUACCCGGGUAGUCCUAGCCGUAAACGAUGCGAGCUAGGUGUCACGUGGAUUGCGAAUCCAUGUGGUGCCGUAGGGAAACCGUGAAGCUCGCCGCCUGGGAAGUACGGCCGCAAGGCUGAAACUUAAAGGAAUUGGCGGGGGAGCAC
rnacentral:rRNA from 1 species